CUUUUUUUCAUGUGGAAAAUAUUCAGCGCACUUUUACUCUUCUUGGUUGUGGAUACUACAGUAAAUCUUGAUCUAACUCAGUGUACCUCUAAGAGAGCAACAAAAUGUACUUUAUAUCCUUAUGAUUGUUCUGUUAUGAUAGCAGGCGACUCAAUUGUUGCCUAAAUUGAGCCCCAAUUAGUCUUCUCAUUUUAUAACAGGAUGUCAAGAGACAUUUCAUAUUAUUUACGUUCUAGGAGGAAAUCUAUAUUAUACACAAAGUAAUGGAGGGGGUGACCCCUUCCACUGUAUAACUUUCUGACAUGAAAAUACUAUAUGCCAUUAAUUCAGGAGUAUAUCUAAUAAUUGAUCUUACAAAAUGUGUCAACUUCUGGACUGGGUCUAACAGUCCCAUCUCACAUUUCUCUUUUGAAAUAGUUAAGGAGCUUUCAGCUAUAGCUAUACAACUUCUUGAGAGUAGUAACCUCAUGGUACCAUGUUUAUUGCUCACACAUCUAUAUUUUUUUUAUUCAUAAAAUAGUUUCUGUUGAAUCUUAUUAUCAAACAGUAUUGGUAUGGGCCUUUGAGCGUGUCAGGGAUGCCAAAUAUUGAAUCCAAUUCUUUUUAUCUUGAGCACUGAAACAAUAGAAUUUUUUAUGUCAUACUUAUGCAUCUAUCUAUAAGUGCUUCAUGUUACUUUGCAUUUCCAGGGACCCAUCUUACAACCAUCUGUCAGAAACAACACCUGGCUCUUAGUCAACUCCCAUGACUUACAUUUUUGUUGGUGUUCUUCCUGGUCUGACAUUGUUUUUCGAGACUGCAGCAAAGAUCCCCUUAAAUCAUAGAUAUCUCCAUCUGCCGUGUUAGUUUGCCAAGCAACUACAGUAUGGGUCUGGUAGAUAACUCCCGACAGGCUGAUGACUCUUAAGAUUUAGAAGUCGUUGACUAUUUGACCAAGUUUAUGCGCCAUCUAUUUGGGGACGGAGGGAGUAUUACUUUAGCAAACAACUGGUAGUCACAUUGGGUGAGCAUGAAAUUGCAUGGGUUUAUGCAGAAGCUGGAAGGGUGGAUGAGAAACCUCUACAUAGGGGGGCCAUAAUUUGGUGAUGCUACAGAUGAUUAGGCCAAACCCUAGUGGUUAGUAUGUGAGUGUUAUUUAGUUACAUGCAUGUCACUUUGUUACCAAUCAUAUAUGUAUGCAGAUUUGCUAAUUUUGUAAUUUAUGUGAUGUUAUGAAAUUUCAGUUACAACUUUCAGAGAAAUUAAUGAGCAGUGUCAUUUUGAAGAAGGUAUCCCAAAACAAGGGAGUAUAUUUAGUCCCUCAUUCUUGACGAGGGACUAAUUAUUGGUGUAAAUUAUGUUACCUCAUUAUUGAUGUAAAUUAUGUUACCUCAAUAUUGAUGUUAAAGUCAUCUUGAUACGGAGAUUAUGCCAUGAUAUAAAUUUGAGACAAGUAAAGCUAGUAAUCUA